AUUGAACGCUGGCGGCAGGCCUAACACAUGCAAGUCGGACGGUAGCACAGAGAGCUUGCUCUCGGGUGACGAGUGGCGGACGGGUGAGUAAUGUCUGGGGAUCUGCCCGAUAGAGGGGGAUAACCACUGGAAACGGUGGCUAAUACCGCAUAACGUCGCAAGACCAAAGAGGGGGACAUUCGGGCCUCUCACUAUCGGAUGAACCCAGAUGGGAUUAGCUAGUAGGCGGGGUAAUGGCCCACCUAGGCGACGAUCCCUAGCUGGUCUGAGAGGAUGACCAGCCACACUGGAACUGAGACACGGUCCAGACUCCUACGGGAGGCAGCAGUGGGGAAUAUUGCACAAUGGGCGCAAGCCUGAUGCAGCCAUGCCGCGUGUAUGAAGAAGGCCUUCGGGUUGUAAAGUACUUUCAGCGGGGAGGAAGGCGGUGCGGUUAAUAACCGCGCCGAUUGACGUUACCCGCAGAAGAAGCACCGGCUAACUCCGUGCCAGCAGCCGCCGCCG
rnacentral:rRNA from 1 species